GAUGAACGCUGGCGGCGUGCCUAAUACAUGCAAGUCGAGCGAACGGACGAGAAGCUUGCUUCUCUGAUGUUAGCGGCGGACGGGUGAGUAACACGUGGAUAACCUACCUAUAAGACUGGGAUAACUUCGGGAAACCGGAGCUAAUACCGGAUAAUAUUUUGAACCGCAUGGUUCAAAAGUGAAAGACGGUCUUGCUGUCACUUAUAGAUGGAUCCGCGCUGCAUUAGCUAGUUGGUAAGGUAACGGCUUACCAAGGCAACGAUGCAUAGCCGACCUGAGAGGGUGAUCGGCCACACUGGAACUGAGACACGGUCCAGACUCCUACGGGAGGCAGCAGUAGGGAAUCUUCCGCAAUGGGCGAAAGCCUGACGGAGCAACGCCGCGUGAGUGAUGAUGGUCUUCGGAUCGUAAAACUCUGUUAUUAGGGAAGAACAUAUGUGUAAGUAACUGUGCACAUCUUGACGGUACCUAAUCAGAGAGCCACGGCUAACUACGUGCCAGCAGCCGCGGUAAUACGUAGGUGGCAAGCGUUAUCCGGAAUUAUUGGGCGUAAAGCGCGCGUAGGCGGUUUUUUAAGUCUGAUGUGAAAGCCCACGGCUCAACCGUGGAGGGUCAUUGGAAACUGGAAAACUUGAGUGCAGAAGAGGAAAGUGGAAUUCCAUGUGUAGCGGUGAAAUGCGCAGAGAUAUGGAGGAACACCAGUGGCGAAGGCGACUUUCUGGUCUGUAACUGACGCUGAUGUGCGAAAGCGUGGGGAUCAAACAGGAUUAGAUACCCUGGUAGUCCACGCCGUAAACGAUGAGUGCUAAGUGUUAGGGGGUUUCCGCCCCUUAGUGCUGCAGCUAACGCAUUAAGCACUCCGCCUGGGGAGUACGACCGCAAGGUUGAAACUCAAAGGAAUUGACGGGGACCCGCACAAGCGGUGGAGCAUGUGGUUUAAUUCGAAGCAACGCGAAGAACCUUACCAAAUCUUGACAUCCUUUGACAACUCUAGAGAUAGAGCCUUCCCCUUCGGGGGACAAAGUGACAGGUGGUGCAUGGUUGUCGUCAGCUCGUGUCGUGAGAUGUUGGGUUAAGUCCCGCAACGAGCGCAACCCUUAAGCUUAGUUGCCAUCAUUAAGUUGGGCACUCUAAGUUGACUGCCGGUGACAAACCGGAGGAAGGUGGGGAUGACGUCAAAUCAUCAUGCCCCUUAUGAUUUGGGCUACACACGUGCUACAAUGGACAAUACAAAGGGCAGCGAAACCGCGAGGUCAAGCAAAUCCCAUAAAGUUGUUCUCAGUUCGGAUUGUAGUCUGCAACUCGACUACAUGAAGCUGGAAUCGCUAGUAAUCGUAGAUCAGCAUGCUACGGUGAAUACGUUCCCGGGUCU
rnacentral:rRNA from 1 species